rnacentral:misc_RNA from 1 species
GAUGAAGAACGCAGCGAAAUGCGAUAAGUAAUGUGAAUUGCAGAAUUCAGUGAAUCAUCGAGUCUUUGAACGCACAUUGCGCCCCCUGGUAUUCCGGGGGGCAUGCCUGUCCGAGCGUCAUUGCUGCCCUCAAGCACGGCUUGUGUGUUGGGCCCCCGUCCCCGGUUUCCCCCGGGGACGGGCCCGAAAGGCAGCGGCGGCACCGCGUCCGGUCCUCGAGCGUAUGGGGCUUUGUCACCCGCUCUGUAGGCCCGGCCGGCGCCAGCCGACAACCCAUCAUCCUUUUCAGGUUGACCUCGGAUCAGGUAGGGAUACCCGCUGAACUUAAGCAUAUCAAUAAGCGGAGGA